rnacentral:tRNA from 1 species
AUUCAUUUAGUUUAUAUAAAAUAUUGAAUUGUGGUUUCAGUGAACUUUAUUUAGGGUGAAUA